AGAAAACGCGCCAGGCAUGUUUCUCAGGCCGUUUAUUGAUCCUAGCGGCCCCGCACCUGCGAGAGCCAACAGUCCCUCCGAGGGAAGUUUCCAGGCCUCACUGUGCUGUCGGUUAUCACUGACUUGAGGUCCUGAAAGCGUUUCCUCCACGCCUCAGCCCCCUUCCCCCAUUUGUCUGUUAAGGUCUGGAACCUGACUCAGCCACUGAGGAAAUGGCCCAAGCCAGCCCUAGUGUCUGAAUGUAAAAGCUCAGAAUGCUUUUCCGGAGCACCUCCCCUUCAGCUUUGGAGUUUAAGGUGUGUGAAAAAGGAUACCAUUAAUUAAAGUCCAACAAGAUCAGCCCACGUGCUUAUGGGCUAACUUUUUACCUGCUCUUUCUGCACUUUGCAAGAGCAGGAGCAACAAUGGUGGGGUCGAAGACCUACCUCCCUGCACACUCCACCUAACCUCAUGUGGAUAGCUAAGUUUAGCUAUCCACCCAUAGCUAAACCAACUAUUAACUCCAACCUAACAGUGGCAAGUAAGAGGCCAGGGGAGAAAAUGGGACGCCCACAAUUCCAGGGGCUUUGGAGUUCUUUAAGCUUAAAACGUGGACAACAUCCCUGGGUUGCCACCCAAUUCCCCAAAGCAGUAGGUUCUCCCCCACAGGUGUAGUGGUUAACGAUGGACUGGGCCUUCCUCCCAAGCGCUCACACCAGGGUCCCGUUCUUGCUGUCAUAGCGAGGUGUGGCCUGGGGGAAGCGAAGGGUCGCAUACUCUGUAGCGUUUUCUAAAUGCACGUGUUUCACUUCCCGGGCAUGGGGACGGCUGCACACUUGAAUGUCAGCAUAAUGUAAGUUGCUGUCUUCCGACAUGAGGCCUGGACUCCUCUCUUGAGACCCUUGCUGCUGUAACACCCGUUCAUACGUAUGUCCUGUUGUUUCAUGGCCCUGCGAGGAAUGGAUAGCAUUAAGGGAGAUUCAUGGCUUGGUUUUGCCCCUCACCUCCAAUGCAGGGGCAGGUCAACUGAUGUCCCUUCGCUUUGCUCCUUUGAGCAAAGGACAGACAGAGGAGGACAGACAGAGCCAGCAAAUUCUACAGGUGACUGAAAUGUGUCUGUUGCAGUGCAAAAGAGCUGACUACUGGGAUCCCAUGUCCGAGCAGCCCCAGAGAGGGGACAGAGACCUGUCAUUACCUUUGGGAGAUUCUGCUGCAGCUGUUGUGGCUGCGGCUUCAGUGUCCGUCUUGUUUGGCUUCCUGAGGGGAAGAAAUCCAACUUAAGUUUAUUCUCUCUUCCCUGUCUCUACUGAGAUUGCCUUCUUCAAAUCACUAUUAAACUAUUAACGGCAGGCUUCUGUCUAAUCCCCCUGCCUCCAUUCUCACUUCUUUCAUGUCUACUAGUGCUAAAUCCAAACUCCUUAGCAGGGUUUACAAUCUGGCCCUUUCACAAUCUGGCCAUAAUAUCUUCCAUCCUCAUUUUUCACUAGCCCCUAACAAGUUCAACAAGAGAACCCAUUGUGUGCCAGGCUCUGUGCCAUGUUCUGGGGGUAGAAGGAUGAGUAAGCUGUUUCCUCUACCUCAGGGGGCUUACAGCCUGCUAGGGGAGACAAAUAAAUAAAAAUAAGUAAACACACUUACAAUGCAAGGUGGGAAGUGCUCAGCUAUACCAAUCAG
rnacentral:lncRNA from 1 species